UACGGCGGAUCCAAGCGUUAUCCGGAAUCAUUGGGUUUAAAGGGUCCGUCGGCGGUUUAAUAAGUCAGUGGUGAAAGCCCAUCGCUCAACGGUGGAACGGCCAUUGAUACUGUUAAACUUGAAUUAUUAGGAAGUAACUAGAAUAUGUAGUGUAGCGGUGAAAUGCUUAGAGAUUACAUGGAAUACCAAUUGCGAAGGCAGGUUACUACUAAUGGAUUGACGCUGAUGGACGAAAGCGUGGGUAGCGAACAGG
rnacentral:rRNA from 1 species